rnacentral:rRNA from 1 species
UACGUAGGGUGCAAGCGUUAUCCGGAUUCACUGGGUUUAAAGGGUGCGUAGGAGGGCAGGUAAGUCAGUGGUGAAAUCUUCGAGCUUAACUCGGAAACUGCCGUUGAUACUAUCUGUCUUGAAUCCCGUGGAGAUGAGCGGAAUAUGUCAUGUAGCGGUGAAAUGCUUAGAUAUGACAUAGAACACCAAUUGCGAAGGCAGCUCGUUACACGAAGAUUGACUCUGAGGCACGAAAGCGUGGGGAUCAAACAGG